UUUUUAUGUUACAGAUCUGUGUAUACCAGUAAUAAUUGCUAUAUAUGUAAUGCAUGGUUACUUUUUCUUUUUAAUAUGUUUUGUUACUGUAAUUGUAACAAAUUGUAGCUUGGUCAACUGGCAUGGAAGUGUAGACUGAAUGCGUUCAUUGAAAACUUAUCAGAGGGUGGUAAAUGGUAUAUUCGUAAACCGCGUGAAUUGUCAAUAUUUGUUUUCGUGAAAUGUGAAACGACG